GAUGAACGCUGGCGGCGUGCCUAAUACAUGCAAGUAGAGCGAACGGAGGAGAAGUUGCUUCCCUUGAUGAUAGCGGCGGGCGGGUGAGAAACAUAUGGAAACUCCACGUAUGAGAGGGGGAAAACUUGGGGAAGCUGGAGCUUAUAGCGGAAAAUAAUAUGUACCGCAACGUUUAAAUGAGAAAGACAGUCUCAUUGCUACUAGAAGAAGGUUCCGUGCUGUAUCAGCUAGUUGGUAAGGUAACGGCUUACCAAGGCAACGAUGCAUAGCCGACCUGAGAGGGUGAUCGGCCACACUGGAACUGAGACACGGUCCAGCCUCCUACGGGAGGCAGCAUUAGGGAAUCUUCCGCAAUGGGCGAAAUCCUGACGGAGCAACGCCGCUUGAUUGAUGAAGUUCUUCGGAUCUUAAAACUCUGUUAUUAGGGAAGAACAUUUGUGUAAGUAACUGUGCACAUCUUGACGGUACCUAAUCAGAAAGCCACGGCUAACUACGUG
rnacentral:rRNA from 1 species